rnacentral:rRNA from 1 species
AUACGGAGGGAGCAAGCGUUAUUCGGAAUCACUGGGCGUAAAGCGCGCGCAGGCGGCUUGAUAAGUUGGAUGUGAAAGCCUACGGCUCAACCGUAGAACUGCAUCCAAAACUGUCAAGCUAGAGUCUGGGAGGGGAAGAUGGAAUUAGUUGUGUAGGGGUAAAAUCCGUAGAGAUAACUAGGAAUACCAAAAGCGAAGGCGAUCUUCUGGAACAGUCCUGACGCUGAGGCGCGAAAGCGUGGGGAGCAAACAGGAUUAGAAACACCGGUAGUCC